rnacentral:rRNA from 1 species
AACGAACGCUGGCGGCAUGCCUAACACAUGCAAGUCGAACGAGACCUUCGGGUCUAGUGGCGCAAGGGUGCGUAACGCGUGGGAACCUGCCCUUAGGUUCUGAAUAACUCCCCGAAAGGGGUGCUAAUACCGGAUAAUGUCUUCGGACCAAAGAUUUAUCGCCUUUGGAUGGGCCCGCGUUGGAUUAGCUAGUUGGUAUGGUAAAAGCCUACCAAGGCGACGAUCCAUAGCUGGUCUGAGAGGAUGAUCAGCCACACUGGGACUGAGACACGGCCCAGACUCCUACGGGAGGCAGCAGUGGGGAAUAUUGGACAAUGGGCGAAAGCCUGAUCCGGCAAUGCCGCGUGAGUGAUGAAGGCCUUAGGGUUGUAAAGCUCUUUUACCCGGGAUGAUAAUGACAGUACCGGGAGAAUAAGCUCCGGCUAACUCCGUG